AAAAAGGCGCGGGAAGUUGGGAGGAAAACGGAGAGAAGGACGGCGACGCGAAGAAAGCAAAUCUCCUCUUCUUCUUUUUUUUUCCACGGACCCUGCCAAAACACUGCUCUGGGAAAAAAAUUC
ensembl:ncRNA F54E4.10 ncRNA